rnacentral:rRNA from 1 species
AACGUAGGACACAAGCGUUAUCCGGAGUUACUGGGGCGUAAAGGGCGUGUAGGCGGACCUAUAAGUCUAUUCUGAAAGCUCCCUGGCUAAACUGGGAGAGGCGAAUGGAGACUGUAGAUCUAGAGUGAGGAAGAGGAAAGUGGAAUUCCGCGUGUAGUGGUGAAAUGCGUAGAGAUGCGGAGGAACACCAGUGGCGAAAAGCGACUUUCUGGUCCUUAACUGACGCUGAGGCGGCGAAAGCAUGGGGAGCGAACGGGAUUAGAUACCCGAGAGUCCCGAGAACCCA